UACGUAGGUGGCAAGCGUUGUUCGGAAUUACUUGGGCGUAAAGCGCGCGUAGGCGGCUUCUUCAAGUUCAGGCGUGAAAGGCCCCGGGCUUGAACUCGGGAACUGCGCUUGAUACUGUCGAGCUAGAGUGUGGAAGGGGCGAUUGGAAUUCCGUGUGUAGCGGUGAAAUGCGUAGAUAUACGGAGGAACACCAGGGCGAAGGCGGAUCGCUGGGCCAACACUGACGCUGAUGCGCGAAAGCUAGGGGAGCAAACAGG
rnacentral:rRNA from 1 species